UUAAUUGAAACCAAAAAAGAGGUAAGUUAUUGUUAAUAAUUAUAAUGAAAAUAUUUUCCAAUUAAA
rnacentral:tRNA from 1 species